rnacentral:tRNA from 1 species
GCAUCAAUGGUGUAGUCGCUAUCAUACUUCCUUCGGGUGGAAGUGGUCCUGGGUUCAAAUCCCAGUUGGUGCC